GAAAGAUUCCGGUUGAUCCUGCCGGGGGGUACCGCUAUUGGGAUGCGCUUAAGCCAUGUGAGUCGAGAGGUUUCGGGCCUCGGCAUACGGCUCAGUAACACGUGGAUAAUCUGACCUUGGGUGGGGGAUAAUCUCGCAAAAGUGAGCAUAACACCCCAUAGACCUAUAAUGCUGGAAUGCUUAUAGAUUGAAAGCUCCGGCGCCUAAGGAUGAGUCUACGGCUUAUCAGGUUGUAGUGGGUGUAACGAACCCACUAGCCCUCUACGAGUACGGGUCUUGAAAGAGAUUGCCCGGAGAUGGACUCUGAGACACGAGUCCAGGCCCUACGGGGCGCAGCAGGCGCGAAAACUUCGCAAUGUGGGCAACCACGACGAGGGUACCCCAAGUGCUUAUACAAUGUAUAAGCUGUUUCACUGCCUAAAAAGCAGAGAGAGUAAGGGCUGGGUAAGACGGGUGCCAGCCGCCGCGGUAAUACCCGCAGCCCAAGUGGUAUUCCGUUUUAUUGGGUCUAAAACGUCCGUAGCCGGUCCAGUAAAUUCUUGGGUAAAUCGUUCUGCUUAACAGAACGAAUUCCGAGGAGACUGCCGGACUUGGGACCGGGGGAGGCUAGAGGUACUCUUGGGGUAGGGGUGAAAUCCUAUAAUCCCAUGAGGACCACCAGUGGCGAAGGCGUCUAGCUAGAACGGAUCCGACGGUAAGGGACGAAGCCUUGGGGCACAAACGGGAUUAGAUACCCCGGUAGUCCAAGGUGUAAACGCUGUAGACUUGGUGUUGGGGGUUCCAUGAGAGCGCCCAGUGCCGGAGAGAAGUUGUUAAGUCUACUACCUGGGGAGUACGCUCGCAAGAGUGAAACUUAAAGGAA
rnacentral:rRNA from 1 species